rnacentral:rRNA from 1 species
ACUCCUACGGGAGGCAGCAGUGGGGAAUAUUGCACAAUGGGGGAAACCCUGAUGCAGCCAUGCCGCGUGUGUGAAGAAGGCCUUCGGGUUGUAAAGCACUUUCAGUAGGGAGGAAGGUAGUGUAGUUAACACCUGCAUUAUUUGUACGUUACCUACAGAAGAAGCACCGGCUAACUCCGUGCCAGCAGCCGCGGUAAUACGGAGGGUGCGAGCGUUAAUCGGAAUUACUGGGCGUAAAGCGCAUGCAGGCGGCCUGUUAAGUCAGAUGUGAAAGCCCGGGGUCUUAACCUCGGAAUUGCAUUUGAAACUGGCAGGCUAGAGUCUUGUAGAGGGGUUAGAAUUUCAGGUGUAGCGGUGAAAUGCGUAGAGAUCUGAAGG